rnacentral:rRNA from 1 species
AUUGAACGCUGGCGGCAUGCCUUACACAUGCAAGUCGAACGGCAGCACGGGUGCUUGCACCUGGUGGCGAGUGGCGAACGGGUGAGUAAUACAUCGGAACAUGUCCUGUAGUGGGGGAUAGCCCGGCGAAAGCCGGAUUAAUACCGCAUACGAUCCACGGAUGAAAGCGGGGGACCUUCGGGCCUCGCGCUAUAGGGUUGGCCGAUGGCUGAUUAGCUAGUUGGUGGGGUAAAGGCCUACCAAGGCGACGAUCAGUAGCUGGUCUGAGAGGACGACCAGCCACACUGGGACUGAGACACGGCCCAGACUCCUACGGGAGGCAGCAGUGGGGAAUUUUGGACAAAGGGCGAAAGCCUGAUCCAGCAAUGCCGCAUGUGUGAAGAAGGCCUUCGGGUUGCAAAGCACUUUUGUCCGGAAAGAAAUCCUUGACUCUAAUACAGUCGGGGGAUGACGGUACCGGAAGAAUAAGCACCGGCUAACUACGUG